CUCCACAUGGGAGAGCUGGCCGCCUCUGCAGGAAGGACUGUCCAGCACUGAGGGUCAGCAGAAGUGUCUGGGCAGCUGCAAAUGGGACUCAUGCAGAGGCAGCAUGGUGCAGGGUGUGCUGAUGUAUCGGGACUACCCCCUGGAACUAUUCAUGGCCCAGUGCUAUGGCAACAUCAGUGACUUGGGCAAGGGGCGCCAGAUGCCCGUCCACUAUGGCUGCAAGGAACGCCACUUCGUCACUAUCUCCUCUCCACUGGCCACGCAGAUCCCUCAGGCGGUGGGGGCGGCCUACGCAGCCAAGCGGGCCAACGCCAACAGGGUCGUCAUCUGUUACUUCGGCGAGGGGGCGGCCAGUGAGGGGGACGCCCAUGCCGGCUUCAACUUCGCUGCCACACUUGAGUGCCCCAUCAUCUUCUUCUGCCGGAACAAUGGCUACGCCAUCUCCACGCCCACCUCCGAGCAGUAUCGCGGCGAUGGUAUUGCAGCACGAGGCCCCGGGUAUGGCAUCAUGUCAAUCCGUGUGGAUGGUAAUGAUGUGUUUGCUGUGUACAACGCCACAAAGGAGGCCCGACGGCGGGCUGUGGCAGAGAACCAGCCCUUCCUCAUCGAGGCCAU
rnacentral:sRNA from 1 species